UAAGGAAUAUUGCGCAAUGGACGAAAGUCUGACGCAGCGACGCCGCGUGGGGGAUGAAGGUCUUCGGAUUGUAAACCACUGUCGCGAGGGACGAAGCUCUGACGGUACCUCGAAAGGAAGCACCGGCUAACUCUGUGCCAGCAGCCGCGGUAAGACGUAGGGGGCGAGCGUUGUCCGGAUUUAUUGGGCGUAAAGAGCUCGUAGGCGGUUGCGUAAGUCGGAUGUGAAAACUCAGGGCUCAACCCUGAGACGCCAUCCGAUACUGCGCUGACUUGAAUCCAGUAGGGGAGUGCGGAAUUCCUGGUGUAGCGGUGAAAUGCGCAGAUAUCAGGAGGAACACCCAUGGCGAAGGCAGCACUCUGGGCUGGUAUUGACGCUGAGGAGCGAAAGCAUGGGUAGCGAACAGGAUUAGAUACCCAUGUAGUCCCUGAGCGGGCUGGCAAGGCGCAU
rnacentral:rRNA from 1 species